UUUGACUGGCAGCAGUGGUGGAUUCUGACGUAGACUGAGCUCGAAAUGUGCUUGUUUCCCCUCCAAAACUGAGGCCCAUUUGCACAACAAGCAAAAAGGACAAGCUGCAGAGGUAACUGAGCCCCAGAGAGAUAAUGCAGAGCGUGGCUGUCACCAAGAGAAUAAGCCUGAGCUGACUUGCCAGAAAGCUGAUCCGUGGCCCGUCUCCCACUUCACCACACGGAUAACCUGCUCAUCGCCCGGCACUGAGUGAGAUCAUCCUUGAUCACCUGACCCGCCAGCCGGGCAGUCAGUACUUCAGGCCCAGCUGAUGUCAGUGCAGCCUGGCCCAGAGCAAUAGAAUUGCCCACAACUCAUCAACUUGUCAGCGGUCUCCAGUCCCGAGGUCAUCGCUCAUCAAGAGGGGAUAAUCCCAAGGACAGCAGGACCUACUUCAUCCCUUGGAUUUAGGAGGGAGAAGCCCAUCAGGCCACUAAACAGUAACAAUGGCCCACCAUUAAACACACCGAGAGAAGAGCGUGAUGAGGAAUUUGUACAAGAAAAGUCCAGGAGUUCUCGCUGACAAUGUCUGACCACAGUGAGCUCUGCCCAUUGAACUGCAAUAAAAACUCUCCCCCUCCCCAGAGCUGUGUGGAUGUGGACACAGUUCAGGCAAUGGACUAUGUCUGGAUAUAACAGAGUGAAAAGAAUUUGGACUGUGGGGGUCAGAUAGACCUGGGUUUGAAUUGUUAUUCUGCCACUUCUCUCUAGUAUGCUUUGGCAACAUUUAAAAAUCCCUGCCUCAUUUUUUCUUAUCUGCAAAAAAGUAGCUGAGACCUACACUGGGUCUUUUAAGAGGAUCAAAUACAACAGUGUUUGAAAAGCACAAGCUGGGUACUUCUUGUUAUGGGAAAAGAGCAGGAUGUGUGGCCAAAAAGGGAACCUCACAAUGAAAAUUAUUCUCAAACAGCACUCAGCUUCAGAAUGGAUGCCUAUUGCCCGAGCCCAGUGGUCGGCAAACCCAUUAGUCAGCAGAGCCAAAUAUCAACAGUACAAUGACCGAAAUUUUUUUUGAGAGCCAAAUUUUUU